UUGUCACCUGGGACAGGAAGGGAUUCCUGUGGAAGAGUGAAGGGCCAGACAUCCUGGCAACAUCUCCCUGGGGUGUGGAGACAGGGUAUCAAUGGACACAGGGUAAAAUUAAUAAAUGCAUAAUGUCCAAAAUAUGAUGAGUACAUAACUUUUGGGCCCCAUCAUACAUUGCAUCCUUAUGCCUGUGAUGUGCUGGUUUCAGGGAGACCAAACACGCCAUGCAGGCAUGUCCAUAGCAAGUGUUAUGCGAAUGUGUCCUUGUGCCAACUGAUACAGGUGUGGAGUUUGGGUAUCAAUGGACACAGGGUAAAAUUAAUAAAUGCAUAAUGUCCAAAAUAUGAUGAGUACAUAACUUUUGGGCCCCAUCAUACAUUGCAUCCUUAUGCCUGUGAUGUGCUGGUUUCAGGGAGACCAAACACGCCAUGCAGGCAUGUCCAUAGCAAGUGUUAUGCGAAUGUGUCCUUGUGCCAACUGAUACAGGUGUGGAGUUUGGUAUGAAAAUGAUCACUAGGACCAGAGAAGUAUGAUGAUCCUGGUGUCAUAAUUAUGCCAAGCUCAGCCAGCGUCAUAUUACAUAUUUUGUGAUCUCAGACCAAAGUUGAGAAGAUAUAACCCCGCCUUCAGAAGGUCAUAGUUCUGAACCCCCUACUCCCAUCCCCUUGCUCAGGUAACAGGAAAAGGGCGGUCUUUGGGGGGGGAUAAAAAGGUGGGCAAUUGGUAAUGGAGAAAAGAGCCUGUUUUUACCAUCAGAGAGACAACAUCAAGGUUCCAAGGAAGUGUGGUAUGAUACUCUGUUUUAUCCCUUUUAUUUUAUACUGUUUUGUACUUGUACUAUUUAAGUCUAUGUCUCUUUUUACAUGCAUUUUUAUGUAACAGCACUGUGACCCAUUUUAUGCUCAGAUUAAACAUUUUUAAUCA